GCACGGGUGUCUAUUUUGGGCCGUCGGGAGGCCGGCCGGGCGCCCCCGGGUCCUAGAGGCCUCUGGGAGGCGCCCGUCCCCCCCCCCGGGGUGGGCCCUGUAGUGGUUGUGCACGAGCGGGCACGCCCGCAAAGCCCUGGCCGCCGCCUCAUUGGUCAGGUCUAAACGGGAGAGGCCUCCUCUGAUUGGCUGAGGCUGGGGGUUGCGGCCGUUGGCUGGCCUGGUGGCCAUCGGAAGAGUCUGAUUGGCCGCAGUGAGGUGGGCGGGUUCGGGUUGCUGGGAGGAAUGGGCCUCCCCUCGCUGGAUACCAGAGCCCCGCAGGUUGCAAGCCGGGAGAUCUGAGAGUAGCUGGUGCCUGUCCCUGCGAACGCGGAGGUUUCCAGCCGGGCGGGGCUCGGGGAGGUGCGCUUCUCAAGCUGUGGCUGGUGUGCAGAGGAGCAGGCGACCCUGUCACAGAUUCUCAUCUGGGCACAGUAUCCGUCACAUCGUUUUGUAGGUCCAGACAUCACCUACGUAGAGGCCUUCUCAGCAUCCAUUUCCUUCUUCUGUGGCCUAAGGAAGGAUUCUGACUUUCCUGGGAUGGGAUUCCCAUUUUUCCCAGAGUUCACGGGAGCCAUCCAAUCGACACCACCUGCCCACCACACCAUGGCCCAGUGGCUUUCAAAGCGUGGUCCAAAUUUCAGCAGCAUCUGGGAACUUGGUAGCAAUGCACAUUCUCAGGAGUCCACCUACUCAGGACCUGCUGAAGCGGAAACCCUGGGAGUGAGACACGGGAAGCUGUGUGUUACCAUGCCUUCCGUGUGA
rnacentral:lncRNA from 1 species